rnacentral:misc_RNA from 1 species
UCCCAGCACUUUAUCAACAAAUAAUUGCGGACAAAGUGCUGGGCAGUCUCGCGUGACACGUAUAACACACGAUGAGGGUUGCGUUCGUUACCCCACUUAAGGGAACAGUUCAGACCACGAACUGACGACGGCCAUGCAUCACCUGCCUACGAGCCCGAAGGCUUCCAACGUUUCUGCUGGAAUUCCCGUAGGUUUCAAACCCUGGUGAGGUUCUUCGCUUAUCGUCGAAUUAAACCACAUGCUCCACUGCUUGUGCGAGCCCCCGUCUAUUCCUUUGAGUUUUAAGCUUGCGCUCGUACUACCCAGGUGCCUCACUUAACGCGUUAGCUUCGCCUCUAAGAGGGUCGAUACUCCUAAAAGCUAGUGAGGAACGUUUAGGGCCAGGACUAC